rnacentral:rRNA from 1 species
GGGGCUUACACAUGCAAGUCGAACGAUGAACCUCCUUCGGGAGGGGAUUAGUGGCGAACGGGUGAGUAACACGUGGGCAAUCUGCCCUUCACUCUGGGACAAGCCCUGGAAACGGGGUCUAAUACCGGAUAACACUGCGGAUCGCAUGGUCUGCGGUUAAAAGCUCCGGCGGUGAAGGAUGAGCCCGCGGCCUAUCAGCUAGUUGGUGGGGUAAUGGCCUACCAAGGCGACGACGGGUAGCCGGCCUGAGAGGGCGACCGGCCACACUGGGACUGAGACACGGCCCAGACUCCUACGGGAGGCAGCAGUGGGGAAUAUUGCACAAUGGGCGAAAGCCUGAUGCAGCGACGCCGCGUGAGGGAUGACGGCCUUCGGGUUGUAAACCUCUUUCAGCAGGGAAGAAGCGAAAGUGACGGUACCUGCAGAAGAAGCGCCGGCUAACUACGUGCCAGCAGCCGCGGUAAUACGUAGGGCGCAAGCGUUGUCCGGAAUUAUUGGGCGUAAAGAGCUCGUAGGCGGCUUGUCACGUCGGAUGUGAAAGCCCGGGGCUUAACCCCGGGUCUGCAUUCGAUACGGGCAGGCUAGAGUGUGGUAGGGGAGAUCGGAAUUCCUGGUGUAGCGGUGAAAUGCGCAGAUAUCAGGAGGAACACCGGUGGCGAAGGCGGAUCUCUGGGCCAUUACUGACGCUGAGGAGCGAAAGCGUGGGGAGCGAACAGGAUUAGAUACCCUGGUAGUCCACGCCGUAAACGUUGGGAACUAGGUGUUGGCGACAUUCCACGUCGUCGGUGCCGCAGCUAACGCAUUAAGUUCCCCGCCUGGGGAGUACGGCCGCAAGGCUAAAACUCAAAGGAAUUGACGGGGGCCCGCACAAGCAGCGGAGCAUGUGGCUUAAUUCGACGCAACGCGAAGAACCUUACCAAGGCUUGACAUCGCCCGGAAAGCAUCAGAGAUGGUGCCCCCCUUGUGGUCGGGUGACAGGUGGUGCAUGGCUGUCGUCAGCUCGUGUCGUGAGAUGUUGGGUUAAGUCCCGCAACGAGCGCAACCCUUGUUCUGUGUUGCCAGCAUGCCCUUCGGGGUGAUGGGGACUCACAGGAGACUGCCGGGGUCAACUCGGAGGAAGGUGGGGACGACGUCAAGUCAUCAUGCCCCUUAUGUCUUGGGCUGCACACGUGCUACAAUGGCCGGUACAAAGAGCUGCGAAGCCGCGAGGCGGAGCGAAUCUCAAAAAGCCGGUCUCAGUUCGGAUUGGGGUCUGCAACUCGACCCCAUGAAGUCGGAGUUGCUAGUAAUCGCAGAUCAGCAUUGCUGCGGUGAAUACGUUCCCGGGCCUUGUACACACCGCCCGUCACGUCACGAAAGUCGGUAACACCCGAAGCCGGUGGCCCAACCCCUUGUGGGAGGGAGCUGUCGAAGGUGGGACUGGCGAUUGGGACGAAGUCGUAACAA